rnacentral:rRNA from 1 species
AGAGUUUGAUUAUGGCUCAGAACGAACGCUGGCGGCAGGCCUAACACAUGCAAGUCGAGCGCGCCCUUCGGGGUGAGCGGCGGACGGGUUAGUAACGCGUGGGAACGUACCCUUUGGUAGGGAAUAGCCACUGGAAACGGUGAGUAAUACCCUAUGAGCCCUUCGGGGGAAAGAUUUAUCGCCAAAGGAUCGGCCCGCGUUAGAUUAGGUAGUUGGUGGGGUAAUGGCCUACCAAGCCUACGAUCUAUAGCUGGUUUUAGAGGAUGAUCAGCAACACUGGGACUGAGACACGGCCCAGACUCCUACGGGAGGCAGCAGUGGGGAAUCUUGGACAAUGGGGGCAACCCUGAAUCCAGCCAUGCCGCGUGAGUGAAGAAGGCCUUAGGGCCGUAAAGCUCUUUCGCCUGUGAAGAUAAUGACGGUAGCAGGUAAAGAAACCCCGGCUAACUCCGUGCCAGCAGCCGC